AUUGAACGCUGGCGGCAGGCCUAACACAUGCAAGUCGAACGGAUGCAGAGUACUUGCUCCUGCUUACAGCUGGGGAGUGGUGAGCGAUGGGUAGAAACCUGCGUGGGUGCGGUGGCUAGCGGCGGGAAAUAGGCGCUAUUACCGCAAACGUCCAGAGGAAGAAAGUGUUAAAUCUUCGGACCUUACUCUAUCAGUUGAGUUUAGGUUGUAUUAGCUGGUUGGGGGGGUAAAGGCCUACCAAGGCGACGAUCCGUAGAUGGUCGGAGAGGAUGAUCAGCCACACUGGAACUGAGACACGGCCCAGACUCCUACGGGAGGCAGCAGUGGGGAAUAUUGGACAAUGGGCGAAAGCCUGACCCAGCAAUACCGCGUGGGUGAAGAAGGUCUUCGGAUUGUAAAGCUCUUUUGUUGGGAAAGAAAGGCAGUAGGUUAAUAACUUGCUGUUUUGGCGGUAACCAAAGAAUAAGCAGCGGGUAACUUCGUG
rnacentral:rRNA from 1 species